GAUGUGCCCAGAUGGGAUUAGCUAGUAGGUGGGGUAAUGGCUCACCUAGGCGACGAUCCCUAGCUGGUCUGAGAGGAUGACCAGCCACACUGGAACUGAGACACGGUCCAGACUCCUACGGGAGGCAGCAGUGGGGAAUAUUGCACAAUGGGCGCAAGCCUGAUGCAGCCAUGCCGCGUGUAUGAAGAAGGCCUUCGGGUUGUAAAGUACUUUCAGCGAGGAGGAAGGUGUUGUGGUUAAUAACCGCAGCAAUUGACGUUACUCGCAGAAGAAGCACCGGCUAACUCCGUGCCAGCAGCCGCGGUAAUACGGAGGGUGCAAGCGUUAAUCGGAAUUACUGGGCGUAAAGCGCACGCAGGCGGUUUGUUAAGUCAGAUGUGAAAUCCCCGGGCUCAACCUGGGAACUGCAUUUGAAACUGGCAAGCUUGAGUCUCGUAGAGGGGGGUAGAAUUCCAGGUGUAGCGGUGAAAUGCGUAGAGAUCUGGAGGAAUACCGGUGGCGAAGGCGGCCCCCUGGACGAAGACUGACGCUCAGGUGCGAAAGCGUGGGGAGCAAACAGGAUUUAGAUACCCUGGUAGUCCACGCU
rnacentral:rRNA from 1 species